rnacentral:rRNA from 1 species
GAGACAGCAGUCGCCACGGUAAAACGGAGGGUGCAAGCGUUAAUCGGAAUUACUGGGCGUAAAGCGCACGCAGGCGGUCUGACAAGUCAGAUGUGAAAUCCCCGGGCUUAACCUGGGAACUGCAUUUGAAACUGUCAGGCUGGAGUCUUGUAGAGGGGGGUAGAAUUCCAGGUGUAGCGGUGAAAUGCGUAGAGAUCUGGAGGAAUACCGAUGGCGAAGGCAGCCAUCUGGCCUAAUACUGACGCUGAGGUACGAAAGCAUGGGGAGCAAACAGGAUUAGAUACCCCUGUAGUCCCUGUCUCUUAUAC